rnacentral:rRNA from 1 species
GACGAACGCUGGCGGCGUGCUUAACACAUGCAAGUCGAACGAAGUGGCGCACGGGUGAGUAACGCGUAAUCAACCUGCCCUUCAGGGGGGGACAACAGUUGGAAACGACUGCUAAUACCUCAUACUUAAGGACGUGAUUGCGUGUGAUUAGCUAGUUGGAGGGGUAACGGCCCACCAAGGCGAUGAUCAGUAGGCGGUCUGGGAGGAUGAACGGCCACAUUGGGACUGGGACAACGCCCAGAAUCCUACGGGAGGCAGGAGUGGGGAAUCUUCCGAAAUGGACGAAAGUCUGACGGAGCAACGCCGGGGGAGGGAUGAAGGGCUUCGGGUUGUAAAGAUCUGUUAAUCGGGACGCGGUACCGGAAUAGAAAGCCACGGCUAACUACGUGCCAGCCGCCGCGGUAAUUC